UAUCUUUUAUCAUAAAGGCGUACGAAUAUUGUUUAUUACUAAAAGCCCAUGUUCUGGAUAUUAGUAAGAUCGGUGUGAAAGUAGCGAUAAAUUUUCAAAGUUCUUGUGUUUAAUGGUAACGUACAAUACAGACAUCUAAAGUAAUCAACAAAAAAAACAAAGGAUAAAUAGGUUGAAAGAGAUUAUUUCUUGUCUGCAUGGUUUACACAUAUUAAAUAUGCAAGAAACUGCAGCAAAUGCAUCGAAAACUGUAGUUUCGUGUGACAUUAAAGAAAAUGAAAUGUGGGAUCCUGGAGCAGGCCAUUUUGCCCGAUGCAGGAAUAGACACCAGAAAAUGAACAAUAAGGAAAGACAGACAUGCAAAGCAAGUUUUGCCAUCAGAAACUUAAAACAUGUACAAGAUUACUUAAUGGGUGUCAUAAUGGCAGAUGAGAAACUACAAAAGAUACAAUGUCAUUUAUAUAAUUGGUUAUCACACGAAAAUGCUGAUUCAUGCAUGACGUAUUUCUUCAGCAUUCCAACGAAGAUGAGAAGAAAAUCCGGAGGCGUUGCUUGUGCGGUUGCUUGUCAGAUGCUUGUUCACUAGGUUGGUAUUUUUGGUUUGGCAUUUCGCGAUCGCGAAAGUCAAAUUAAAAAUACUUUGCCAUACAUAUGUGAACUUUGUAAUGCAUCUCAAAGAAUAGAUCAGAGAUGUUCAAAAACUUCCUUUCAAAGAAAUCCUAAAUUGAAAUAUGUAAUUUUGAUUUACAACAUAUAUUUGCAUCAACUGCCUAUUGAACUUUAUGAACAUUUCAAUUCUUUUUAUUCUUAUAAGGACAUUGCAUUUGUUCCAAAAUACUCGGAAGAUGUUUUGUGUACCGGUAACAAAUUAUUGAUUAUUAACGAAUAUUGCAAACGGAUAUGUUGUCGAGGAAACCAGGUAGUGAUUGUUCUAAAGCACGGCAGUAGAAUUUACUGUUAUGGUAACUUUCUAGUCUUUUGUGGUAUAAAUUGUAUUCAAACAGUACUGGAAAAUAAUUUUAUUCAAACUACUGUCUUAUUUCAGUCCUCCAGAAAUAGACGGCUGAAUAGCUUACAAUUUAAAAGGGAGUGGAUGAAAAUCUUAUGAUCACAAAACUAGGUUGUAACAAAUGUACGAACGAAAUUACCUAUGCAUCAAACAUUCAAAUAAAUGUUCAAGCUGUCCGUUUAAAUGGCGAGCAGUCCGUUUGGUACAACCCAGUUUAAAAUGGUUAUACAUAUAUAACCAGCACAUGAUGUGGACUAUGGUCGUCAAAUGUAUAUCCUAAUAAAAGUAAAAAUUGUAAAAAAAAAAUCGUUCUUUAUAAUAUGUUUAAUGAUGAUACAGACUUUAUACAGAUAAAAUAUAUGUGAAUGAAAAUAAAAAUUAUCAAAAAAAAAAUUAUAAAAAAAAGAAAAAAAGAAAAAAAAAAAAGAAAAUAGAAAAUACAUCAAAUUUCAUCGUUUACCUGAACAAUAUUUUGAUUUGGGGAAGUCAUUUAAAGUGUACCCUGUGAAAAUCUUACCUAAAAGGUCAAAUAAUCCAUUUCAUAAACAACAAAAAAAGAAUAAAAUAAUUAUUAGGACUAUAUCGGCGUUCUGUUUUCUACUGUCGUAGGCAACUGUCAAGAAACCCCUCGAGCGACCUCUCGAAAGGCCAAUGUAUUUUGCUUUUGGAUUUUUUGUAAGGGUUUGUCAUUUAUUUGGCAUUUUCCGUCGCAGACAGCCAAAUCAUUAAUACUGGUACAGCGAAGAGGAUACUUCGAAUAUCAAAGAAUUGUUGCACGGAUUGUUCAUAAAGAUUGCAAAUAAGAACAUGCAUUUAUCGAACGGAUACGAUUUUUUUUUUAUAAAUUUAUAAAAAUAAUUAACUAAUGAAAAAAAUAAAAUAUGUUUAGUCACAAAAACAUUAAAAAGAAAAAUGUUAAAACGAAGAAGACAGAAAGAACGGAGAUUUUGUGGGACACUAUUUAUUAUUAUCCUUUAAAGAGAAUUAGUCAUAAUUAAGAACACAUAAAUAUUGAAGCAAAACUAUAUGCUUCAGUUCAAAUAAACCAAGAUCUGUUUAUGUUAUAUAGGGGCCGGAUGAGACAUUUCGCUUUUUAGCCUGUAAUAUUAUAAAGUGUAAGCGCGAAGGCACAAAUCGCAAGAAAAAAAAAACAAACUGAAAACGCGAGAAAGCUUUAACAGUAAAAUCUGUGCAAGUGGAAUGACAACAGUUUUUUUUAUAUUUUUAGUGUUAGUUCGAAUAUAUUUAUUGGGACAUCACCAUGAUUACUGAAGUCCUUUUUUUUUUAUCUAAAAUAUUAAGAUUGUAAGAUUGAAAUGGCUAUUCUAUUGUUUUGUAAAUAUUAAGAUUGUGAGCUUGAUAUGGCCAAUAUGUGUUCUUUGUAAGUUUUACGAAUGUGAGAUUGAUAUGGCCAUCCUGUGUACUUUAAGAUUGUGUGGUCAUUUGUUUAUUAAGAUUGUAAGAUUGAUAUAGCCAUAACCAUUUUGUUUUUAUUUAGAUAUUAAGAUUGUAAGAUUAUUAUAGCCAUUAUGUGUACUUGUAAAUAUUAAUGUUGUUAAAUUGAUAGUACCAUUGUGUGUUCAAUUGAGUAUUUAGAUUUUAAUAUUGAAUUUGUCAUAAUGUACCUUUAAAGAAAAUGCAAUAUAUUGUUAUAAGACUAUGAAAAAAAAAGAAAAAAAAUGUUGAAUAAAUAUUGAGAGAUAACUGUUGAGUCAAUACGUCAAAUGAUCUCAAAUGUUAAUUUUAUGAGAUCAGGGCAAUUAUUUUCGCCCUUGUCAACUGUAUUUUAUUAUGAAGAACUUAUAAACCCCGAAAUCUGCCACAAAGAACCCAACCUAGCAAAAAGCAAUCUGUUAGACUGGGAAUUGAAUGAAACUGAAAAUGUUCAUCACCGGACUUCGGCAAGUCUCGGGGGGAGGGGGCAAUUACAAUGUACUGAGUUGUUGGGAGGAGCCACUUGAAUCACUAUUUCAAGCUUCAUAAUAUAUGAUGAGGGCAAUUAAAAAUUUGGAUUAUAUAAUGAAUAUAUUGGAUAAUGACAAGGUUGCUGAUUAUAUCAAAGGUAUCUGAAAUUACUGAAUCUGGUGUUUGUAUAUAUUAAAGACGUGAUUAAACCCAUA